rnacentral:rRNA from 1 species
AAGUCUGAUGUGAAAGCCUUCGGCUUAACCGGAGUAGUGCAUUGGAAACUGGGAGACUUGAGUGCAGAAGAGGAGAGUGGAACUCCCAUGUGUAGCGGUGAAAAUGCGUAGAUAUAUGGAAGAACACCAGUGGCGAAAGCGGCUCUCUGGUCUGUAGCUGACGCUGAGGUUCGAAAGCGUGGGUAACAAACAGGAUUAGAUACCCUGGUAG